CUCUUAUCAAGAUAGGUGGAGGGACUUGGCCCAAUGAAGCCUCGGCAACCGAAACAUAGGUGCCACUUCCAACCGAUGUAUCUGAGAGAUAGGAG
rnacentral:ncRNA from 15 species